CUCAGCCAGGGUUAGGCUGGCAGAGGGGCUUCAGGCACAGAGGGCUGUAAAGGAACUUGCAGUGUCUGGGUCUGAGCAGGGUUUGUAGGUGGAGCUGAUUAGUUGCAGGAGCAGAAACAGUUUCAGAGCCAAGUCCUGACACCCACCAUCCCAGGAUCCUGUCUUACAACCAGGCCAAGUCAUGAAGAGGCAGCUGGGCGCUCUGCUGGGGCUUUUGUGCACCCACCUUUGCUGUGUGAGAGGGAUGCAGGUGGAGCAGAGUCCUCCAGCCCUGAUCCUCCAGGAAGGAGCCAGUUCCACUCUGCUGUGCAAUUUUUCUACCUCUGCGAACAAUGUGCAGUGGUUUCGCCAAAAUCCCGGGGGACGCCUCAUCAACCUGUUUUACAUUCCUUCAGGGACAAAGCAGAGUGGAAGACUAACGUCCACGACAGUCUCUAAGGAACGCCGCAGCUCCUUGUACAUUUCCUCUUCCCAGACCACCGACUCUGCGGUUUAUUUCUGUGCGGUGGGUGCACAGUGCAGCCCAGGCACCUGCAGCUGUUGCACAAACCCUCAGCGGCUCGGCCCCUCCCCCAGCCACAGGCUCCUCAGGAGGCCCUGGGACAGCACUUGCACCUUUAUCACUCAUGUUGAUAUGAUAGAGUUUUACCCACAGAUAUUUUUGGCCUCAUAA